rnacentral:rRNA from 1 species
UACGUAGGGGGCAAGCGUUGUCCGGAAUCAUUGGGCGUAAAGCGCGUGUAGGCGGUUUGUCGCGUCGGGAGUGAAAACAUCGGGCUUAACUCGAUGCUUGCUUUCGAUACGGGCAGACUUGAGGUAUGCAGGGGAGAAUGGAAUUCCUGGUGUAGCGGUGAAAUGCGCAGAUAUCAGGAGGAACACCGGUGGCGAAGGCGGUUCUCUGGGCAUUACCUGACGCUGAGGAGCGAAAGUGUGGGGAGCGAACAGG